AGCGAACGCUGGCGGCAGGCUUAACACAUGCAAGUCGAGCGGGCACUUUCGGGUGUCAGCGGCGGACGGGUGAGUAACGCGUGGGAACGUGCCCUCUGGUUCGGAAUAACUCAGGGAAACUUGAGCUAAUACCGGAUACGCCCUUUUGGGGAAAGGCUUGCUGCCGGAGGAUCGGCCCGCGUCUGAUUAGCUAGUUGGUGAGGUAACGGCUCACCAAGGCGACGAUCAGUAGCUGGUCUGAGAGGAUGAUCAGCCACACUGGGACUGAGACACGGCCCAGACUCCUACGGGAGGCGGCAGUGGGGAAUAUUGGACAAUGGGCGCAAGCCUGAUCCAGCCAUGCCGCGUGAGUGAUCAAGGCCUUAGGGUUGUAAAGCUCUUUUAUCCGGGACGAUAAUGACGGUACCGGAGGAAUAAGCCCCGGCUAACUUCGUG
rnacentral:rRNA from 1 species